rnacentral:lncRNA from 1 species
AGUCUCUUUUGGAGAGCUGUGAACGUGACCAGACCUAUUAAUUACUUAACUGAGGUGCUGAACUUUGAAAAUGAAAGUUCCGGUGGGGAGUUCUGUCCUUUCCAGCCUGGGGAGCUCUGUCAGGGCUCUCCUGAGCGUCUCUUUCAGCUUAUCAAGCUCGCUCGGGGACCGUCUCUGAGAGAGAGUCUCACUCUGUCACCCAGGCUGGAGUGCAGUGGCAUGAUCUCGGCUCACUGCAACCUCCGCCUCCUGGGUUCAAGUGAUUCUCCUGCCACAGCCCCUUGAGUAGUUGACGUUACAGGCACCCACCACCGCACCCAGAUACUUUUCGUAUUUUUAGUGGAGACGCUGUUUCACCAUGUUGGCCAGUUGGUCUCGAACUCCUGACCUCAAGUGAUCUGCCUGCCUUGGCCUCCCUAUGUGCUGGGUUAUAGGCGUAAGCCACUGUGCCCUGCUUCAUGUCAUUUUUAAAGAGCCCACACAACUCCUGUAGCUGCAUUACGACAACCUCAACGGCAAGACCUCGACGUGAUAUUACUCCACGUGAAAGUCUAAAAGGCGCUGAGCACAGUGCUCUGCCAAUGGUGUGUCUUCCAGCCUCGCUUGCUGAGAGAACAGAUGUGCCGGGGAAGAAAUGGACAAAGCUGGGAAAGGAGUCUAACUUCUUCAAAGCGGUUGGGCACCGGUGAGGCUCUUUUGGUUACAAACCACAGAAAUGGAUUCUGGUUUAUCAGUUUAAUCUCGGUGUAACUAAAAGUGGGAAGUACUGGAAGGAGACGCAUUUCAUGGGCUCAGAGGUGACCUUGGGGCACUGAGUUGGCCCUUCUGUGGCCAGGUGUCCCUCUCUCGGGGACCUGCCUUCCCAUGCCCCAGUCUCAACUCUUGGUGUCUGUCUAAUCUCAAACUCCCAAGAGACUGGAUUGGAUUAGAUCAGUGUGGUGUAGCAAGAGGCACUGUGUGUGUGUGUGUGUGUGUGUGUGUGUGUGUGUGUGUGUGGUGUCAUUAGGGAGAUCUCAGAGAACAACCACCUUGGCCAACUUGUCUAUCUCACGCCAGACGUUUUCACCCAUCGUUCUGUCCAACCCUACAUAAUCCUGCCAGGGGGCUAUCAGUUUUUUGUUUAUGUUGAACGCUAAACUCAGCAGGAAAGAACACUGCUUUCUGGGAUUUUCUUCAUUUAAACCUCUAUUGCCUAUGAGAACAGUGUAUUUUCUUUAAGGGCUACCAGGUUUUCUAUUAAUAGAAAAUUAAAAAAAUAGUGAGAAGUACCAAGAACAAAAUUAACAUCACCCAUCAUCCACCAUUCAGACAGAAAAAUGGUCCCCUUUGACUGAUGUUCAUCAGCUAUAUAAAUCUCUACACACACACAUAUACACCCAUACCUACUUUGAAGUAAAAAUUAUGAAGAGCACAUUGUUUUGUGACCUUUCUCUUCACGUGCCGUGUUCUCCAUUCUGUUAAAUAUUCACUUCCAUCUUUUUAAAUGGGUGCUUAAUAAACUUUGACUCA